AACCAUCGAGUCUUUGAACGCAAGUUGCGCCCGAAGCCAUUAGGCCGAGGGCACGCCUGCCUGGGUGUCA
rnacentral:rRNA from 1 species